rnacentral:rRNA from 1 species
UACGUAGGGUGCGAGCGUUAAUCGGAAUUACUGGGCGUAAAGCGUGCGCAGGCGGUUUUGUAAGCCGGAUGUGAAAUCCCCGGGCUUAACCUGGGAAUGGCAUUUGGGGACUGCAAGGCUUGAGUGCGGCAGAGGAGACUGGAAUUCCUGGUGUAGCAGUGAAAUGCGUAGAUAUCAGGAGGAACACCGAUGGCGAAGGCAGGUCUCUGGGCUGACACUGACGCUCAUGCACGAAAGCGUGGGAGCGA